AUGUUGUUGAUUUCUUUUCUUCAUUCGUAAAUACAAACUGCUGCAAGUUUCUUAUAUUGCAUUGUUCAUACAUACAUUACGUGUGUUUGUGUAUUGAGUGUGUGUAUUGUUUGGGGCCUGAACCAACAUUUGGUAUUAGAGCCUAGGGCUCGUGAAGACAGAGAAAGACGGUUUGAGAGUCGGUUUCGAGAAAGGGUGUAGCCCUUGGCUGCGGGGAAAACGCAACAGGAAGAAACCGAGUUUCGGUAGUUAUUCUUCGCAGCCUAUUUUCGGGUUUUCAAAACAGGGUAUUUGCGGGUGUUUUGGGACAGCAGGGGGGCUGUUUCGGUGUCGUUUUACAGCAGAAGACGGAGGCGUUACGGUGUUUUCGUGAUCAAAAGAAGGUUCAAGGUUGUUCGGAUGUUAGUUGCGGGUUUGCGCAAGCUGUUAUACAAGGGUGACAACAGCAGAAUGUUUUGCGGAAGCCUUGAUCGGAUUGUUCGUGAUAAGAGGAGACCGGUGUAGUGCGUGAAAAGCGGGAAGAAUGGAUCCGUCAAAGCAGGCGGCUUUGGAUUCGUCUCGUUUGGCAAGGUGAGAAAACGGAAGAAGCGGGUGGCUUGUUUUCUUUGUCGGUGGAUAGUCUCUUGAACAAGGUGAUCGGAAAAAGGUUGUAGAAAAAAAGGGAGAACACGGUGGUGACAUUAUGGCGUUGGAGUUCACUCGGGUGGCUUUGGAUGUGACCGGGGAAGGUUGUUGAUCCGUGAUAAGUCGUGAUGUUAAUGAACGGUGUUCCAACGUUAUGCCAUGUUACAUGUUACGGGCGUGGUGU
rnacentral:lncRNA from 1 species